CCUACGGGUGGCAGCAGUGAGGAAUAUUGGUCAAUGGACGAGAGUCUGAACCAGCCAAGUAGCGUGAAGGAUGACUGCCCUAUGGGUUGUAAACUUCUUUUAUAUGGGAAUAACAUGCCUUACGUGUAGGGUUUUGUAUGUACCAUAUGAAUAAGGAUCGGCUAAUUCCGUGCCAGCAGCCGCGGUAAUACGGAGGGUCCGAGCGUUAUCCGGAUUUAUUGGGUUUAAAGGGAGCGUAGGCGGAGUGUUAAGUCAGCUGUGAAAGUUUGGGGCUCAACCGUAAAAUUGCAGUGGAAACUGGCGGUCUUGAGUGCAGGAGAGGCAGGCGGAAUUCGUGGUGUAGCGGUGAAAUGCUUAGAUAUCACGAAGAACCCCGAUUGCGAAGGCAGCUUACUGGACUGGAACUGACGCUGAUGCUCGAAAGCGUGGGUAUCAAACAGGAUUAGAUACCCCGGUAGUC
rnacentral:rRNA from 1 species